rnacentral:misc_RNA from 1 species
GAUGAAGAACGCAGCGAAAUGCGAUAAGUAAUGUGAAUUGCAGAAUUCAGUGAAUCAUCGAAUCUUUGAACGCACCUUGCGCUCCUUGGUAUUCCGAGGAGCAUGCCUGUUUGAGUGUCAUGAAAUUCUCAACCUUUUCAGCUUUCUUUGUUGAUCAGGCUUGGAUGUGGGAGUAUGCGGGCUUCUCAGAAGUCGGCUCUCCUGAAAUGCAUUAGCGGGACCUUUGUUGCCUGGCUUUGGUGUGAUAAUUAUCUACGCCAUUGUAGUAAAGCAGCUUAAAAUGAGGUUUCAGCUUCUAACCGUCUCCCCUGAGACAACGUUUUGACAAUUUGACCUCAAAUCAGGUAGGACUACCCGCUGAACUUAAGCAUAUCAAUAAGCGGAGGA